rnacentral:rRNA from 1 species
GUGCCAGCAGCCGCGGUAAUACGUAGGGUCCGAGCGUUGUCCGGAGUUACUGGGCGUAAAGCGCGCGCAGGCGGCCCGGCAAGCAUGGCGUGAAAGCCCCCGGCUCAACCGGGGAGGGUCGUCGUGGACUGCUGGGCUUGAGGGCGGUAGGGGUUGGUGGAAUGCCCGGUGUAGUGGUGAAAUGCGUAGAGAUCGGGCGGAACACCCGUGGCGAAGGCGGCCAACUGGGCCGACCCUGACGCUGAGGCGCGAAGGCGUGGGGAGCGAACGGGAUUAGAUACCCCCGUAGUCC